CCUACGGGUGGCAGCAGUGAGGAAUAUUGGUCAAUGGACGGAAGUCUGAACCAGCCAUGCCGCGUGCAGGAAGACGGCUCUAUGAGUUGUAAACUGCUUUUGUUCAAGCGUAAACCUGGAUACGUGUAUUCAGCUGAAAGUACUGUACGAAUAAGGAUCGGCUAACUCCGUGCCAGCAGCCGCGGUAAUACGGAGGAUCCAAGCGUUAUCCGGAUUUAUUGGGUUUAAAGGGUGUGUAGGCGGAUUGAUAAGUUAGAGGUGAAAUGUCCGAGCUUAACUCGGGAACUGCAUAUAAUAUUGUUGAGAUAGAGAGUAGAUGCGGUAGGCGGAAUGUAUGGUGGAGCGGUGAAAUGCUUAGAGAUCAGACAGAAAACCGAUUGCGAAGGCAGCUUACCAAUCUAUAUCUGACGUGGAGGCACGAAAGCGUGGGGAGCAAACAGGAUUAGAUACCUUAGU
rnacentral:rRNA from 1 species